GUCACAUUCACUUUCUUCUCAUCCACGAUUUAAUCCUAAAAAGAGAGCCAGUCAAGGAGGAGGUGCUCUUGGCAAAUAAUGUAACAAGAUACAACCAAAGAAUCUUUUUGGGAACACAGAUUCAGCAAGGGAGAGGAGACUAAGAGCCAGAAGACUUCUGAUACCUAGUACCAGAGGGGAGGGUACUCUGUAAUACGGCUGCUAAACUUCAGAAGAAUAUUUGCAAAGGAAAUUAGUAGCGUAUAUUUUACAAAGAUUAAAGUGUCUGUUGAGUUAAAU
rnacentral:lncRNA from 1 species